ensembl:lncRNA
UUUUUGGGGAAUGAUUAGGUUUGUCGCCAUGCUGCUAAACAACAGCAAAAUCGUCUCCAGGACCGUUUCUAAUAGAGGCUUUACUCCCAUUUCAGGACCGUACACACAGACAGCCAGAUGUUAUGUGUGGGGGUUUCAAAGGAAAUGGACCCGAGAAAAGACCGGACGGACUAAAGACCACGUGACGAGAGGUCACAUUUAGUCUUUUGCUGCACAUAUAGGCUACAGAGGGCUGCUUAGUGAAGAAGCUCACCUGCUGAUUAAUCAAUAUGGUGAGGAGUUGCGUGAAAGCAGGUUGCUCCCAAUGACAAAGCAACAAAGAAUAUUCCCCCAGUGCAGCUGUGUCCCUCACACAUCCACAAGGGGUGCUCGAGGAGAGCAGAAGCGCACCUGAACGAGCCUGGUGAGUUGUCAGUGGGAUCCUGUCGGAUCGACGGGUGGACCUGAAACCACUAUGAAUGAAGGAUGUGGUCGCUGGUAAACUGGUCUUUAGUGCGCAUCAGUGUUUUGAGGCAGAGUGCGUCGUACCAGCAGCUGUCACCGUCCUCCAGGGCCGGCUUUUGGAAGACCUUCAGUGCACACCGGAGACAACAGAUGGAGUUUGACAAGAAGCUGGCGUGAGGCAACACAAGAGGACCCGUAACAGUUGUGAACAGCAACAAAACGAUGACAAGCUGAGAACAGAGAAGAGUUUAAGUCCACUGUUGAGGUAAUUGGAAGCAGCUGAGAAAUAAUGGGGACCUCGCGGGGCGGCUGGGGCCAGAUUAGUCAAUGCAAGGUGUACUGUUGUUACACGUAUCAGGGUUUGAAACGAACUCGUUUCAGGGAGCCACAGCAUCUUUUUUAAAGCAAAUGCUGAAUUGGCUAAAUGAAUAAUAAUAGAAAGGAGAUCUGUCGAGUGGGGGAAACCAAGUGUUGGAACUAACUGAUUUAUGGAGUCUGAGUGGGGGGAGAAUAAACUGUGAGUGGGAUAUUGAAAGGCGGUCGCCAUAGAGAACUCCAGGUAUCGACCGCCGGUUAAGAGGACUGUUAGCUCCCAGUCCAAGAAUAAACUGAUAAGACGGACCGAGAUUGGAUCCGUGCGUUAGAGCAUACGGCUUUUCCAUGCUAUCUGAAACAUUCGAGUGCUGGCUGCUUCUCAUUUAUGCCCCCACCCCCCCACCCUCUCCUCCCGCCGACUCCCUCACAUCCCAUCCCAGCCAUCUCGGCAGGGACCCUGUGUUCUGUGUGCCGCGCCGACCCAGCCCUGCAGUGGACCGUGCCAUUCGAUCCACGCAGCCGAUGAUGAUUCACGCUCUGCGAUCCGGGGAGUGAGAGCAGGCAGAGGAAUCCCCCCCCCCUUCUCUCACCUUCCUCCCACCCUGCACAUCCAUAAUUCAGCAUUUGCGCCUUCGCCACACAACCCACCCCUCCCUCCUGUCUCUUUCAUCCCAUUGCUUUGGCUGCUGGCGUGCGCACCACAGCGCGGCGUCCACAAGCCCGAGUGCCCGCCGUCAGCAAUCCGGCCAUCUGGAGCUCCACGUCGAGCGGCGCAGGUAAGGCGAGAGCGAAACAAGUGCUUCUUCGUCGUUUGUGGGGCGUGAAGUAUACAUGUCGGCUGCAGGCGUCUUUUUAAGUCCUUUGGCUGAGUUGCUUCCUAAUUUACUCAUUUAGAAGAAAUGGAUUUUUGAAGUAGAGACUUGGUGAAACUGUUGCUAUGGUACCGAUGAAUGAGGAAUAAAACCUGCGCGGGGGGGUUCAUUCGAAAUUGUUGGUGCGUCAGCCAUUGGUAAAUAAUAAAAGUUGAAUUAAUGUUCCCAGGUGAGACAAUAAGCCCACCAUCCCCACCACACACACACACCAUUGUGCGAGCUACCUGAAUCCACUCAUGAGGUGAAACACCUGAGCUCAUCAUGUGAGUUCAACCGCUGGGCUGUUUGGUGGAGCUCAGAGGAAGCUGCCCUGUGCUGCUUCGCCAGACAGAGGCUCACUAACAGGAUAAAACCCUGCUGCUUUUUAUUUCAUGGUGCAUGGAAGCAUCCUGUUGCUGACUGAGGAUUUACGGUGUGCUCGGAUUAUUGAGAUCGCUGCUCUGGCUGCAAUGCAUAAAUGAUUUGAUCAGAUAUCUGUGCGUUUGGGAUCUGAAAAACACCCUCUGAAUAUGUGGCAUGUUUAUCGAUGUCCAAAAGAGGGGAAUAUAUUUUAGUGAGGUGUUAAGUCAACUAUGUAAGUACUGUUCAAACAGACGGUUACAUUUGCAGUAAGUGGGGAGAAACGACACGAGGGGAACAUUGAUUUGCCUUGUGUGUGAUUUAAAACACAACAGAUUAGAGACAUUUAAACAUUUUGAAGUUUAAACACGUCUGGUUGAGAAAUGACAUCCCAAAUAAUGAAUAUUUUAAAGCGGAUGCGUUGAGGAAAUGUUGUGCGUCUGUCUCGUCCAUGUGUGCACGUCGGCCGGAGGUUGAAAAGCAAAGUGAGGCUCGCCUGAGGCCAGUGAACUGAUUUGAUUGACAGUGCCGUACCGUUCACGCUAUUUUUGUCAUUUCCGUUUCAUGUUGCAGCAGGUGUAGAAGAGGAUAAUGACAAGAGCAACAGAAGGGAACGGGGAGAGUCAGACAAUGUGUAACAUCUCAUUCAGGCUGUCUGCACACGAGAGAGUGCCGAUGUGCCCGGAAGCCCGGGCCUGACGCAAGAUUGUCAACGCAGCUGGAUUUCAAAGGGGCUCCUUCAGAGCUGGAUUGCUGUCGAGACUCUUUUUCCAUCGACUGAGACGCGCGGGAAAGUAACUAAAACAGCGACAAAGCCGAUCCAACCACUCGCGCACAGCGAGCUUCAUAGGCCCUUCUCUUCAUAUUACGCAAUCACCCUCCACCCUCCCACGUUGCCCCACGCUGGCUCAUAUGCAUCGCUAAGGGCGGAGCUUCUCGUGCUCGUUGAUACAGGGCGAUGAAGUUCGAACGCCGAAAAGGUGCUUCGAAAUCAAACUGACGUCGUUGUCGUCACCCGAUUGAAUUCAGCUCUUGGAAACUGAACCCAGUGUGUAUUUAUAUUCACUGCAAUCGGGAAGGUAAACUAUAUAAUUAAGACUCUCGUCUUUCUGGCGACAUAUGCGGCGGUAAUUUGUAAGAGCUGAGCUGUGAUGAGCCUUUAAAGAGGUGUUUGUGCACAUUGCAUCCAGGAGAUCAGCUGUCAAUCAGUCAUUGCAAGGAGACACCGCUCGAGUUAAAAAUGUUGCUGUUUUUCUCUAUUGGGGUCAACGUCAAUAGAAAUGCUGCACAUCAUACAUUUGGAAAACACACACACAGGAUUCCCUGUGUUAUUUUAGCCAGAGUACUUUAUAAUGAGGCCUGGAUGUAAUUACACGUCCUGUUCACAUAUUCAUAGCUUAAGCACUCUUUGCUGGCUUGUUAGUGCUUUGCAGACUGAUGUGCAUUCACAGCCUCUGCUUAUGAUGACCAUGCAUUGAAAUUAAUUCAUGAACGGUUCCCAUAGACCAAUAAAAGAAGAGUGCGCCCUUGUGAGCCCACCUACUGGUUUGUUAAGAGCUGUGGUGAAGCUCAAAGCUCUAUCCCUUAUUAGAAGGGUCAUAAUGCAGUUUAAACAGGAUGUUUGAAACAACGACAUCCACUUUAUAUUCACUGACAGCUGUUUUGACAAAACAUUUUUUUUUUCCUUCGUACCGGGCUGGAAACAUGUUUGUUUCUACUGUAAAAUUGGGCACUUUAACAUGGACGCCGGGGGAAAUGAGUCACUUUUGAAGCCAGCCAGAAGUGCUGAUUUAAAGAACUGCAAUUGUCACUUCUUCGUUUGAUAAAAAUCACACGGCGGAAGCCUGUGGAUAAACAGCUGUUUGUGCCCUUUAGCCUCUUUAUAUCAGACUCCAAAGAGCAUUAUUUGCAAAUAAAUGCAUGAAAAUAGGUUUUUUGUUUACAUGUCAUCAUUUGCUGCUUUCUCAGUAGUGGAAGAGGUGUGACCACGUGAUCCUGCCGCGGUGAUAUCUUUAUGUUCGAAUGUGAUGAUGUCAUUGGUUUGGUAUUAAUUUGUCCCUUAAUCGGCUUGUUUGAGUUCAUGUGGUGUCCAUGUCACCAUGAUCUUCAGUUACUGAUGGCACCUGUGUUUGCAUAGAUCACAGAUGCAUGUGAUGUGCAUAAGCUUAAAUUCAUCAUGUGUGCAUAUAUAUAAAAUAUACAUGCUUACUAGAUAAGUAUGAGUAGAGGCAUCAUAUCUGCAUGAGUCAUACUUUUUUUUUUUUUUUGGAAGGAAAAUGUUCAAUAUUUGUACCACAAAACUGAUUCUGCUUUGCUUAAUCAGACAUUGAUAAAUGAUUAAACUUUAACCUCACACGUACGUUGUAUCCAGGCCACAAAAGGUUCAGGAAAUUUCAUUAUGAGAAUGAAAUGAUGAAACACAGAGGCUGAGGCGUCAUUCACUAAUAUUAAAGAUAAUGCCGCUCCUGUUUGAAUGGGCCUAUUAGCAUUUGGGUUUCAGAGCUAACAGGAUUGUUGCGCCUUCCAUCGAGCCGUUGAUUAAAAAUGCCUCCAGCAGAUGUGCCUGAUUAACCAGCUGCUACCUGAUAGCAGAACACAAUAAGAACAACGGCGGCAAAGCUGUGUGGUCAAAUUCAAAAAGCCGUCUGAAUGCCUUCAGACGGAACAGCAACGAGCUGCUUUUUCGCUCUCUCACAGACGUACUUCUGGAAUAACAAGUCGGACCGUCAAUAAAAACAUUCUCCGAACGCCUCUUUACUUCAUGUUGAGUCACCUGAAUAUGUGACCAACGGUUAGCGACCGUUGACCCCUCAUGACGGAGCGACGCAGAACACUCUCUUCAUCGAAUGGUCCAACCCAAUAAAGAUUGGAUUUCAAGUACUGAAUGCAAAUGAGCUCCUACAUCUUUCGAAGGAACACAUUAGGCUUCUUGAAAGUGAUGGAAAUAAGUUAUAAACAGCUCUGCAUCGCAUGGCGUCUUCAAUGCUUCGCUCGCUGUGCAGAGUGUGUCUGGGGGAGUGCCCUUUAAAAGAAUCCUUUGAUGGCAUUUCUCAAUCAUUAGUCGGCUGGAAGAAAAAAGGGAGAAGAGAUGCGUGAGAGGCGGUUCCAGGCGAAGCCGGAGACGCUGUCUUCAUUGUGAACAUCUUAAGAGCUUCAGUUAUUCACGUGUCAGUUUCCUCCUUUUAGGCUGGUAAUCAUCUCUAAGGAAUAAACACUGGCUUAUUUCACGCCGUUUUGUGAACCAAACUUGGAACAUUUAGAACGUCUAACUGUGACUUAUGACCAAUUCUUCGUUGUACUUUUCUGAUGAAUCACCCUUUAUUAUUCUGCGAUUACAUCCGCGGUGCAGCCAACAGACCUUUUGAUAUUUCCAGCCCGUAGCCUGUUUGGUGUCAUCUCAUUGAUCGUCAUUGAUUCAUUCCAAGCAGGGUGUUUACUUUGAUCAAUGGGUCUAAUGGGUAAAUACACAUUUCUCCCACUUGAGCCAGUCCACAGUAAUCUCCCCACGUGGCUGCGAGCUGAUAUGAUAUUGCUAAAAUACUAAUCUCUCAGGUCAAGAGGGUCGGUCUAUUUUCUUUCUUUCCUGUUCUUUGAUUUCCUUUCAAGCCAUUUCAUUUUUUUCUAUCUCAGUCCGGCCCUUUUUUUUUCUAAUGUGUCUGCGUGAAGAAGAUGAUUCUCCUGCACAUUUCACAGAGAGGUUGGUUAAAUUUUUGAGGUUUACUUGCUGUACAACUGCCCUGUGGUGGCACUUUGUUUCCAUUAGUGAUCUUCCAAGGGAUUCUUAAUAACAAACAGUAAUAUGCAUAAUACACAAAGAAGGGGGAUAGAGGCAUAUUUUGUUGUCUCAAGUAUGUCAACAAAGCAGCACGCAAAUAUUUUGAUCCAGUUUAUUUCAUUAACAUUUCGCCAACAGAAAAACACUGCAUUGACAGAUUGGGCUCAUCUGUAAACACACUCACCACAAAGUUGUGCCGUUUAUCUCCAGAACAAAAGCCCUCUGAGGGGCCUCCACUCAAACUGAAGUUUAACGUGUGUCAUCUGAUAAGUUAAAACAGUCCAGUUCACCAGGGAUUUUAUUAAAGCGUAAAACGUUUGGGAGGUUUCUGAUGGUUUUCCCUUCCCAAAGUACAUUUCCCUUUUUAACAUCAUUCCACCAAUUUAUUCACAGCCGCCGAUGGUGGCGGACGCAACGAGAAUAAGUAAAUAAAUGUCUAAUGCAGUUAACUCCUUUUCACCCCCUGUCACUAAUAAGGGACUCCAAAAAGAGUUGAACCAGUUCAUUGUUAUAAAAUAAAUUUAUUUUCUCAUUUAUUCUAGAUUCCGUGAUGUAAUGUUCCGUGUGCAUACAUCAUUUUUGUUGCGGCACCACAUGCAGAUUUUGGAUUCCCAAGUGGGCCGACAAAAGGAAUGUAUGCACACAUCGCCACGAAGAAAGCUCACGAGGUAGCGGAUGCAUACAUGCAAUCUAUUUUUACACGGCAGACAGGAAGCGGGGGAGCCUGUGCUACUUCACCCGGGCUCAAAGACACGCAUGCCGCCUCGACGGCGUAAGGUGAUUUUACGUACAACGCUGACACCUCAAAUGCUGCGGCGGUGAGAUAAAGUCUCCGUUUAAAUUGCCUCCAAUUUGAAAUUAGCUGUGGUUCUAAUAACAUCUUCCAUGAUUCCUUUUCCCCACAUGAGAAAAGCCAUUAUCCAGCAUCAGCACAGUACGUCGGCAUAUACUGCAGCAUAUACUGUGGCAUUUUGCUAUCAGUUCGGAGACUUUUGACAGCAUCCGGACUCCCCUUUUUUUUUUUUUUUAAAGAUUAAAAAGAACUCGUUCUGCCCCCCAAAAUGCGUCAGAGUGCAGCGAACAACAAACAGCAGCCGUUACAGUGUGUGUGACCCAAUUUUAUCAUAAUCUGCCCCGCACUGAGCCGUUCCACCAAAAGCGCCGCGGAAUAACUGCAUUUGUGAACACAGAAAUUGAAAGGCUGCCACUCUGGAAGUGCAGUGCAGAAAGUACUCGUCUUACAAAUUAUUUUCUCCGUUGUGUUGAAACAGCUGUCUUUGAAACGCGAGUGGCGAAUGUCACUGGCUUCUCAGGAAAGUGUGUUUGUGUAACGAGUUGUCGUGGGUCGAGUGUUGCCUUGACACUGUUGGAGUUGCCUUCUUUCUUUCAAGAUUUUGACAUUAACAUGAAUCUGGCUUUGUCAUUUUCUAAUAAUACACAUUUGUUUUUCCUAGAUCUCUUCGCGUUGUACGAGAUUAUGAUAAAUUAAGCUACUGAGGAGCUCUGAUUUGACAGAACACCCAUUUUAUGAGGUAGUUCCUCCCCUCCCAGUUAACAUCCUGAGAGUAUCUAAAAUCGGGGGCAUUCAAAUCGAGCUGCUAUUGACUCCAUUAGAACGAUGUCGGGGAUUACUUCAUCAUUAUUACAUUCUUUUUUUUGACAACCUCAACUCAGGUAAUUUCACAGGGCCGCUACUGCAAAUCAGCAAAAAUGGCCUGGAGUAGGUGGAGGGGGAUACAUAUUCACCGCCAGUGGCGCAGUCUUUAGCCAUGACCUAUUCUUACUGGCCAAUGGGAAAGAGAAGUGUGCCAGCAUGAUUAAUGGUCAUGAUUACCUACUCAGAAAAUGUGUUUUUCCGGCCCAGCAGCUCCACUUUUAUGACUUAAACCUGAGGGCAAGAUGGUUCAUCAUGCAGGCAAAGCUGCACACAGAGAGCGGCUGGUGAAGACCAAACAAAGGCUUCACCAUCGUCUGUCUCACACAGAGAGAGAGGAAAGCCUCGUGGAUUGUUGUUUAGACAUCUCUGUUGAAGACGUCCAUGUCCAUGAGCAUCAGCAUUUGUCUCAGGGGGUCUGCAGCUCGGCCCCCACCGAUCCCGAACUUCAGCUCACCUGUUUUCUCUGUAGAACAAAAACGGCGGCCGCGCUGCAUCCACCGAGGGCCACUUUCCAUCUGCAUGUUUUCAUGUUUGCACGCAGGUAAUACAGCCGGUGCCACUGUGGGAGCUGCUGUGUUUGUUCCAUCAUUAACCUCGAGUUAGUAUCUGUCACAAACACCGUCGCAGCCCUCAUUAUGACUCCGCAUCACUCCCCCUCCACCAAACGGCUGUGUAUCUCGCCAACGAGCCACAAAGGUUAUCCGCAAUAAAAGGUUACAGUUCCCUGUGACAUUUCCCUUGAUGACUUAUCUGAACCUCUGUCUUUGAUGAAUAUCAACCAGCUUGUUGCCACUCGGAGUUAUUCACUCGUUAAACCACAACUGUGAUCGAAUAUUUGAUCAAUGAUCAAAACCAGCAGCAGCAGCUGAUGCUUUCAACUUUAUAGCUGAGAUUUUAUGUUUAUUGUGACCUGCACCUGACGGUCAUAUUACAGUCACAUUAAUAAGAGCAAAUAACAUAUAAUACAUCAAUGCUUGGCAGUCCAGUAAUCUUCCACGUGAUUUUUUUGGCUAGGGAACAACAUUUCUUGUAGCAAACUCACCAUCAUCCAUCACUGAGCAGCUGAAAAUAUGAGAGCAGCCCAGGUUGUGCAUGCAGGGAGUUUUAAACGUGAAAAAUCUCAGUUCCUGGCUCGGUAGCCGCUGACUCACUGGUAAUCAACAACUUUACCAACCCCUGGAGAUAUAUUGUAGCCCUGAUUCUGCUACAGGAUCCUAAAGUCUUCCUCAUUGCACCUUUAACACAGUAUAAAUAUAUCAGUUAAUGUAUCUAGACAAAAUUGUGACUGGACUUUUGUAAGGCUUAAUUUAGCAAAAGGUUUUAGGCUGCAGUGACAACUUUAAUUUAGGACCCAGAAACCAGCCCGCUGUGAGAGAGUUACUGACGAUACAUUUGUCUGUGAAUAAAAGGCCACACACACCCACAGUUAUUGGGCUGUAAAGUACAGUCGACGGGAACCUCGAAUUGCCAAACCCCAAUUGAUGGAAUAGAACAUUUCAUGAAGUUCAGGUUCUUUUACUUAGAUUCAAGAAAAAUCCAUCUCGUCGGGCAUGAAGUAACGUGUUUGUUUCUGGACAACACGCGUCCAGACCCAUCAGCGUCCAGUGAGGAGCUCCCGGCAGCUACACGCAUUGUUUAGGUGUGUGUGUGUGCGUGUGUUGUUUUUGACGCAGCACAGAGAGGAAACUUCUACUACUUCACAACAAUGGCUGCUUGAGGAAAGCAUGGAUGAUACAAUCGCCCCUAUUAGACGGGAUUGACCUGGGAAAACAUUGAGAAAACAUCAGUCACAACCAACACUUCCCCAGCAGUCUCAUGGAAAUCAAUCAAAAGCACAUUUCAGAGGACCUUUGGUGACAGUGGCAGGCCAACCAUCAUCGAGGGGCAUCGGCCCGUCUGCUUUUGAAAUGAAAGCACCAGUUAUUUCCACGCACGCGCAGCCGUCCCUCCCCCUGCCGGCUGUUGCUGUGUUGCUGCGAGGAGGCCGACUGCAGCAGGUGAGCCACAGGGCCAAUUCAGUUUGGUGCCGCCAUGCAUGUGGUGCAUAGCUGCAAAAGCAAUUUGUGGUCCCACCCCAUCUCAUGCCCGAGAUUUAUUAUGGCCUGCUGUUUUUUUUUUUUUUUUUUUUUUAUAUAUCUAACUCCUUUUGAGAAAAGCAAAAGCAUUCCAGCAGUGACACUCAGCAGAAAAGCUCAGAUACCGGGGCGCUUAGACUAAAGAUUAGAGACAAGAGGUGCCCGGCUUAAAUCCUUGAACUGAAGGAAGUGAAUUGUAUGCUUUUGUGUAGGGAAUGUGUCCCCGGAAGUGCUGCUGCUCAGAGGCUUUGGGCUCUGCAGACUGUAGCAUGAAGCUGUGUAGCACAGUGGUUUUAGUGAAGAGCUUAGAAGUAUGUGUAUGUGCAGCAGCAGGUGUCUGAGUAGCUAUGCCAUCAAGCCCUCAUUACCUAGACUGUGAAAAUUGAAAAAUGUAAAUUGGAAAUAUAUUACAUGGUACUGUGAAUAAAUGUAUUUCUAAACAUGUUCUGAGUAAUAGAAAGAUAAGUUAACGGUGUGUUUUCAACCAAAAUGUUCUACGCAUUCAAAAGCAAAGGGAGUCUUGUAAAGUAGCCGUGAUGGAUUAUUCCUGAUAUGAUGCCACAAUCAUGAUCUUAUUCGCGAGUCAUACGCAGAGCCCGCCCACACAUCAUUGACUUCUAAGUACAUUCCAACAGUCCGUGUGCUUGUGAGCAUGUGUGAUAGUGAGCACGCUAAUGUGGAAAAAGGUUUACAUGUUUCUGUAAUGUAAAGGAACCACUGAAGCAUCUGUCUGUGUCUCUGUUUUAAUCAUAUCUCGUGGACCAUGAAGUUAGAGUCUGCUGUUAUGGCUCCACUGUUAUGCCUCCCAUCCCGUCACCUCCCAUCCCCAUAAAUGUGUGAAAAGUUGUAGAAAGAAAUAUACAAACAUAUGGUCCUACCCCUUUCUUCAUGAUUAACUAUAUGUGUAUUAUUGAAACUUGUUUGACAGGACCAUUAAUCCUUUUUAAUUUCAAUCCCAACCUUGGUAAUGAGGUAAUAUUUUUUGCCGUAUUGUCAAAGUUUAACAAAAGAUUAUCCGUUAUACAUCCCACGGCGGGAACAUUAGUAGCGUUACAGCUGCAAGGGGGAUAAUAUAAUAACAAGAAUAUCGGUUUAAAAAAAAAGCUAGAUAGGUCUAUAAUGAAUAAUUAAAAUUUGAAUUAUAAAACUGAAUUAAAAUGAUUACACAAAGGAAACGUUGGUAUUGGACAGUAAAACUGAUAUUGCGUACGAAUUGUCAGUUUUUGUGCGAGCGGUGCAGAGGGUGAAGCCCGACAGUAGUGACAGUAGAGAGAGUGCCGUCUCCUUCACGCUGUGGCCGAGGCCGUCUGUCACCCAACGAGCUGUUUCUAAUGACCCUGCAUGAGACGCCGCGGUGAGAACACGCGGGCGUGAGCGUACGGUGCGCUAAUUAUCGUCUAUUUCUGUGCCGUCACCAUGGCAAACGCACGUCUUUAACGUCAGCAAACAUCAUUUCGUAGCCGAGUGGUAUUAGAAUUCUCCUUCCCAUCUUACCUUGACCUCGGCGUAAAAAGUUGAAGGAUACGUGGUUUAACAGUAGUUAAGAGGUAUAAGGAAGUCAUGUUUUGAGUGUGUUGGUGUCUCUAUCCAUGGUGCUGAAACAUGCAGAUCCAGUUUCUCAGUGAGUUUCUAUCCAUGCUGCUGAAACAUGCAGGUCCGGUUUCUCAGUGAGUUUCUAUCCAUGGUGCUGAAACUUGCAGGUCAAGUUCCACAAUGUGUUUCUAUCCAUGGUGCUGAAACAUGCAGGUCAAGUUCCUCAAUGUGUUUCUAUCCAUGGUGCUGAAACACGCAGGUCCGGUUUCUCUGUGUUUCUAUCCAUGGUGCUGAAACGUGUAGGUCCAGUUUCUCCCUGUGUUUCUAUCCAUGGUGCUGAAACACGCGGGUCCGGUUUCUCAGUGAGUUUCUAUCCAUGGUACUGAAACGUGUAGGUCCAGUUUCUCCCUGUGUUUCUGUCCAUGGUGCUGAAACGUGUAGGUCCAGUUUCUCCCUGUGUCUCCGUCCCUGUGUUGAAUUAGGCUUGAGAGUCACUAAAACAACUCUUAUGUCAGAGCAAAGCAUGUUGUCAAGGCUUGUUGGAAAACUGUGUUUGUCAUGAUGGAUUUCAAAAGUCUCUUUUUCAUCAUGUGUAAAAGAUUUAAAAGAUGUUAUUGUUCUAUUAUUUGGAAAACAAUUAAGUAUGUGCAAAAAAUGUACAAAAUGUGCCUUUAUUAUGAAUAAAUAUUAACAAUACAAUGAAGGGCGCUUUCUAUCAUAUUUCCUACCAGAGGCACACUGCGACGUGAGUUAAGGGACUCAGGAUGUACCUGAGGAUGUACGCAGUGUCUCUAAGACAGAGGGUCUUUGUCAAUUUGAAUCAUUUCCAAGUUCGAUGACUGCCCCCUCAAGUCUUCCAGCCGCCUAAAUAUUUCCAAAUGUAUUACUCACAAGGCACUGCCGAUUGCAUUAGUCAUAUCUGGGCAGAUUGGAUUACGGCAAAGCCCUUUGACUUUAUCACUGUUGAUUUCCCUCAAGGCCACAGAAUGAACUUUAAUGAAUCUCCAUCUUUGACAAAACCCCUGCUGCGUGGUGCCUUAAUUUGACAUGCCACGGGCAAUGAAUGAGUCAAAAGCACAGACAUCUCAAAUGACUGAAGGUGGCAGGUUUUGACCCGAGUCGAUAAUUUCUGAUUAACUUUUGUCAAGACAAAGUCCUUCAUCAAAUAAAUUGCCAAAAGAGGUUUAGAUAUUUCAAGAAGUGACUCAGCUGAAGUGAGCUUUUUGCGGACACGUUUAACAAAGCCGGGUAUUUAGAAUAAAAGCUUCAUUCAGGACAAACCCUCUCACAAUAACUACAGUGUUAUAGUAGGAUAUAGUAGUUAGGACCCCUCUCAUCUUUUGCUGGUUGCUCGUUGCUAAUUACAUAAUUCUACUUUAUUACACUCAGUUGGCUAAGAGCAUUGCAUUGAUUCUCUGAAUGUUUGAUUAGAUCUCAGCUCUGCCCCACCUACAUAUACAUUUUCCAGGCGGCGUUGACCUAUUCUUCAACAUGAUGCAACUUCGUUGCAAUGUGAGUUAGAAUUCUUCUCGGCUGUUGCAGGGAUUAAAUCGGGGCUGCGUGAAGCAUCAAUAGCCGCCUCUUCGCUGACCUCCACACCGCACUCUGAGGUUACGUCCUAAUGGGACAAGCUUCAGUAAAUGUGUUUUAUGCUCAAAUUGCAGAUCCAAAUUUCCCAAUGAUGUAUGAUGGGAAACCGGGUAUCCUCCAUAUUUAACAUUUGUAGGUAGGUAGAACAUCAUUCUUUAGGCAUAUGAACUUGCCUUACGUUUCAAAAUAAAAUCCUAUUGGUGAAUUCCAUGCUUCCUAAAAUAGUAAAGUGUCUGAAGGCUGAUGUCACAUACAGCCAUGCUUUUCUCUUGAUAUUACAUUUGUCGACCAAUAAGCUUUUAUUCAUCAACAGUAUCAAAGCCAAAGAAGCGUGCUAACGGUUAUGUAUGUGCAUGUAUCCAAUGCGGUGUUCACGCGUCAAAAUAAAUUAUGUUUGAAGCAUGUUUGUUUUCACAGCAAAGGGAAAAUAUGAAGAGCCGUGUUGGAUUCCUAUUCAAGAAUGACUGUAUCUAUAUUUAAAUCCUAAUUCAGAGUUGAUUUGGAGUCUCUGGAGUCUCAGCUUCAUCAUCUCCAUCUUGAAACAGCUUGAGGCCAGAGACAUUAGAGACAGAUAUCUUGGAUUAGCAGCAGGCGAAGUAAAGAUGCAUUUUAAUGACUUCACGGCCGGCGUUGGCUGUGAUAAGCACUGCCCUAAGUGACUUCAGAUGUACUUACUGUAUGUUUUAACUCAGGAUGACCUACUGUCUCUCUCAUGCUCUAGUCUUGCCAAUGUAAAACUCUCCUAGUUUUUUCCCCCAUGCAGCUACUUUCCAAUCUGAUAACUUCAUGGAAAAUAAUCAUUUCACCAACUCUUGAGCCCGAGAAUGCAGAAUUGAUUAUUCUUUUUUUAGGCGCCACAUUUGUUUAUCUCAAUGGAGUGGGGACCGGUGAUGGUGACAGCAUGUCAAUUUCAAGAUCAAUUGUUGCCUCUGGCCUUUGCAUUGCAUUACCAUAGUAAUGACUUUUUGACCCUCCUUUCUAAUGUUUGAAGAUCUACAUCCGUAGUUGUGGAGACAAAAGGCGUACCUGAGCGGGAAGCGAAUUCUUCUGCACAGCACCUUUCACACAUCAACAGCAGAACGGACCGAUCCAAUGAAUGCUUAUGAACUACCGAGGCACAGAUCUGGAAAUGUCCUCCACUCACUACUGUCGAUAUUUGCAAAUGAUGUGGAGAAACUAAAUGGCCAUUCUAACUAUGGGGGCCUAAACGUUUCUACUUCAGAGAUUCCCCCCCCACCAGACUGCUGUGCUGUACUGAGCCACUGGUCCCCGAAGGACCAGUGGCUUAGUAUCUGCUGCAAAUUCUAAAAAUACUUAUAAAUUAUAUUCUUUAUUAUUACAAAACACAGAUGCAAAGAGUUACACAAUUUAAGAAAAUUACAUUUAAAUUGAAACAAUGAUUAUGAAAAGAAAAAUCUGUAAAAUGUUGUAAAACAUAAAUAUAAUCACACCCUGAUAACUUUAGGGGAAGGAUGUCGUCAGGGCCGAAUAACUGACUUAGAAUGUUUGAGAGAUUCUUCUUUGAUUCACAAAUUUGAUGAUAGAAAUUAGGUUUCCUUUGAGUGAUAAAGAAAUUAAACCAAAACUAAAAGUGCAUUUAAAGUACCUGCUUAUAUUUAUGCAACACAACUAACUGAAUGCGAGACGAGUAAAGGAACACGGCUGCUCAGCAAACCAAAGCUGGAAUCCGAUUUAAGGAGAGAUAAAUAUGGAAUGUUGAAUACGAGGGGUCUGAGGAUCGUAUGUAUCUCAUUGAUUCUGCAGCACACCCGUUUCUUUUAGAAGUAUCUUUUUAGUAUUUAGUAGUACCAGUGACGCCUCGACCAUGGUCUCGUAUUCACACCCUACAACAUUUCAUACAGUGCAUUCACGUGCUGUGGGCAUGGGAGCUUCGCUGGAAGGCAAGAGAAGUUUGUGUAGUUAAUAGGGUUAAGAAGGUGCUCUCUGAGAAUAUGGAAAGGGGCCCAAGUUAAAGAAAAUGAAAUAAAUAAAUAAGCGCCUAUUGAAAGAUGGCGGUGAGCCUGCCAUGCGAGAUGUCCCUCAGGAUGGAAACUCGCCUUCCCUGCCAGGCAGAUAUUUGGCAAUUAGAAAACUGUCAGCGAGCUUCAUUUGCUCCGAGACCAUCCCGCCCUCAAAUAACUGCACAUUCCUGGCCGGGUUGAAGUCGAAAGCUGCGUCGGCCGGCCGGGGAAGGAAUUACAUGCAGCGGACCAAGAGACGUCAACGGAAUAACGACACGUGGAAACUCGUACACAGCAGCUGGACGCAAUGGAUGCCCGCUGUCACAAUGUGGAAGACGAACAUAUCGAAAGUGUACACACAAUAUGCCAUUAGGGCUGUUUUCAAGCAUGUUGCUGGAGGUCGCGUGCGACGCGUCUGUAAUAUUUCACCCAGCGUAAAAUGGCAUCUGGUGGUUGUUAUGGCGAUGGUGGCAUCUCGAGAUCUUUCCCUUCGCUCCCAUUUGGCAGAUCAGUAACAAUCGC